GGGGGCGUACUGGUUAUCGACCAGUUGAAUACGUUUCUGAUUGCAUGCCGAGGAUGGCUCGUUUCCCUCGUAAAACCAUCGGACCAAAAACAUAACUGCCAACGAAGAAUUGGCCCUCGCGGCAUAACCCGCGACGUCUGCUCCCGAAUACCUGCUACGGGAUGCAGGCGCCGACAGCAGGUUAGGUUGAAGCUGGAGACGGCGCGGUUUUCAACCGAAACUUUACUGCCGACUAGGUGGACGAAUUCGUGUCAGGCCGUUAUUCGACCACCGAAAUAUCAGCCCUGAAUAAGCAUGUAGACGUUGGAAAUUGGUUUAAUUGGGACGGGGGUUCGACUCCCCCCGCCUCCACCA
rnacentral:tmRNA from 1 species